AAUAAGUUACAAAAAAAAGAUUUUUGCACGAACGACGACUUCAAGAAACACUUUUAAAGUGUCUAAAUCGUUCCAAUGACGAAGUACUGUCAGCGAAAGCGCUUGCAUUGUUUGCUCUGUGUCGGAGGAAAUGAGCAGAAAUGCUUUUAUCUCCAGCACCGAGCAUUGGAUUUUUUUUCCCCUUUCCUCCAGAGGUUAUGGAGAAAGCUGCGUGUGAGACGCUGGCCACCAGCAGGACUUCCACUAGAGGCAGCCUGCGCUUCGGGAGCCUCAGCCAUCACUCCUUCUUCUCCAGACACAACCCUCAUCCUCACAGGGUCAGACAUAUGCAAGGGUUGAACGGUAAGCCGGUGUGUACGGUGAACGACGACUGGUUCGGCUUCACUCCGCUCUGUCCUCAUCCCCUCAUCAGGAGUCAAGUGUCUGGGAGCCGCUCCUCGGUGUUUCUCACCCCUGAGAUCGGCUCGGAGCGCUCUGGACCGCGAGCAGCUCUGAUCUCUGAAAGCUGGCGUGAGGAGCUGAAGGACUUGGCCACUAAAGUCAGUGUUUCCACGGCGGCUGAGGCUCCGCGGGACCAGAGAGAGCCGUCAGACGAGGACGUCCCUCGCAGGAAGACGCAGUACUCGUCUCAGUCGGGCCGGAUCAUCCCCGUCUCGUCCCGGGGAGGGAAGAAGCGCAGCAGGACGUCUCACAAGCGUCUGGAGGGAGUCGAGCUCAAGGUGCUGGAGCUCCUGUGUCAGAUCCUGCAGACCGAUUCUCUCUCCAUGGUUCAGCAGUGGCUUCUGUUGGCCGGCGACCGAGAGAAAGAGCUGGUUCAGGGCUUACUCCAGCAGGCCAUGGCCGACUCCGGCUCUCUGACUCAGCAGACGUCUGGAUCUGAGCUUCUGCCGCUGACGUCUCAAGAUCUGCCCGAUCACGUCUUCCUCAACUCGUCUGUCAGCCGCAGGAGGAUCAGCUCACAUCCUGAAGAGACAUUACCGGACAAACCAGGUGAGGCUUCUGUACCUGUGUCAGAUGUAUUGUGUUAUUAAUACGCCGCUGUCUCCCGGAGAGGAUCGACUUCAUGACUUCAUGCACGUGGGCUGCUUCUGGCAGAGAAGAGGAACGUUGCUCUCAGCCUUUAUUAAAACACCAUCUGGCUGCGUUUCAAAGCUUCUUGAGAGACGCUUUCCCCUGCGUUUCCUUUCAAAUGUGCUUCAGGAGCUGGCUGGGAUUUUCAAGGGACCUUCGAAGACUUCGAUUAGUGGACUUAAGUGGAACUGGAACUAAAGGGAAGAGUCACUUCAGGGCUGGGAUUGAGGAAAACCGUAUGCCAAGAUCUGUUGUCACUGUCAUUGAAGCUUUGAUGUUCAUGCAGCCCGUCCAUAAAAACGUUUAUUUAAACGUUCUACGCAUUAAAAAGAAGAGCGGAUCGGAGAGGCAGAAGUUCUCACGCUGUACCCAGAAGACACGUCGUGAACACAAGCUCUUCAUCUCAGCUCCUUUAGCUUCAAUGUUCAUUUUCCUUUCUCGUUAAUAAAGCAUACAAACAGG